rnacentral:rRNA from 1 species
AUGGCAGAUGCAGGAGCUGAUGGGAAUGGUGAUGCUUAUGAUCCAAUGAAAGAUCCAGAACGCAGGCCGAAGAGGUCAACUGAUCCGGGCUGGAAUUAUGGGUAUUGGUUGAAAGUUGGCAACAUCAAUAAUGUUGUAUGCAAUCUUUGUGGCAAGAUAACUUCUGGAGGGAUCAAGAGACACAAAGUGCAUCUUGCUGGCACAGGUGGGGAUGCAACAGGUUGUCCAAAGGCUACCACACAACUUAGGAGGGAGAUGUUAGAAUAUUUGGAAAAGAACAGGAGAAACAUAGGACAGCCAGAUGAUGAUGAUGAUGUAGUGGAGGUAGAUGCAGCAGGGACAGUUCAAGGCUCCACUAAUGCAGCAGCAGUUGAAGGCUCCGCUACAAGACCAAGUUCAGGGACAGCAGCCAAGAAGAACAAGAAAGCCUUUGCGGUAAAAAUCUCAGGCAAAAAGUGUCAAUCUGUUGCAGCCAAGUCAAUUGUUUCCAUGCUUAGGAAAAAACCUGAGGAUGUUGUCGAUGAAAGACGCUCUGGUUGCUCUCAAAGCACCAUGGAGUCCAGCACAAAAACACCGGAAGAGAGGCACUAUGUGAGUAUGCAGUGGGCAUUGUUUUUCUAUGAGUGUGGCAUACCUUUCAAUGUUGCAAGCUCUAGGCAAUUCCAGAUUGCAAUAGAAGCCUCCUGUCAAUAUGGCUCGGGUUACAAGCCUCCUUCUCCUCAUGAGCUGCGGGAGCCAUUGCUUAGGGAUUGUGUCAAGGAAACAAAACAGUUGAGGGUGAAGCACGAGUUAGCAUGGAAGCAAUAUGGCUGCACACUAAUGUCAGAUGGCUGGUCCGAUAAAAGGGGACGCCACUUGAUCAACUUCCUUGUAAACAGCCCGGCGGGCACUUACUUCUUGGAGUCGGUUGAUGCAUCAAGUGAAUGUCAAGAUGCUCGUAUGAUAGCAGAUUUGCUAGAGAAGAGAAUUGAGGAUGUCGGUAGAGAGAAUGUUGUCCAAGUUGUCACCGACAAUGGUGCUAACUACAAGGCAGCGGGCAAGAUUCUAAUGCAAAGGAUUCCUACACUAUAUUGGAGUCCAUGUGCAUGCCAUUGCUUGGACCUAAUGUUGGAAGAUAUAGGGAAGCUAAAGGCAUUUCAGAAGCCUAUUGCACGGGGUAGACGAGUCACCAAUUUCAUCUAUAGGCAUGGCAGAAUUCUUAGUCUAAUGAGGAAGGCAACGGGUGGGCAGGAUCUUGUGAGACCCGCAGCCACUCGUUUUGCCACAUUCAUUCUUGCUCUUAAGAGUUUGGUCAAGCACAAGCAAGCAUUGAGGAGUCUAUUUACAUGUCAAGCAUGGGUUGGAAACAAAUUGGCCAAAACUGCAACCGGUUUGAAUGUGCAAGACAUUGUGCUUUCAGCGGAUUGGUGGCAUGCAAUUGAGGCCUGCCUUAGAGCUUCAGGUCCACUACUUCGAGUGCUUAGGGUAGAGGAUGGUGAUGAGAUUCCUGCCAUGCCAGAAAUGACAGCACUAAUGAGGUUUGCAAAGGAGAGGAUCAAUCAAGGUUUUCCCCACCAAAACAAGCAAGCUUUGCUCAAGAAGAUCAUGGACAUUGUUGACAAACGUUGGGUGAAUCAAAUGGAUCAUCCAUUGUAUGGGGCUGCUUUGUUUUUGAACCCUGGAAAGUUCUUCUCUAUUGUCAAGAGUGGUGAUGAUGCCCUAGUUGGGGAGCUAAGAAGUUGCUUUAAUGAUGUCCUUGCAAAAAUGGUACUUGAUGUACAAACUCGCAAGAAGAUUGAUACACAAUCUGUUCUCUAUGAGGACCAGCGAGAUACCUUUGCUAAUUUGAUGGCAAUCCAAAACAUUUCAGAAAAAAAACCUCUUGAUUGGUGGCGUUCAUAUGGUGGUCGAGCAAUUGAGCUACAAAGGUUUGCAAAGCGUAUUGUUAGUCUUUGUGCUUCAUCAUCCGGUUGUGAGAGGAAUUGGAGCACAUUUGAAUUUAUCCAUACCAAGAAAAGGAACCGGUUACAACACCGAAUCUUGAAUGACAAUGUCUUUGUUUCAUACAACCGGAAGAACUUGGAUAGGUUUCAAAAGAGGCGUGAGAAGAUGGGUGGCACAAGCUAUGACCCUCUAGUCAUUGAGGAUUUUGAUUGGGGCAAUGAGUGGGUUGACCCAACAAUACCUCCACCCCAAGGUGCUCGAGGGUGUCCCGAUGACAUUUCAUGGGAGCUUGUUGAUGAGGCUGUUGGUGCAAGUUCGUCGCUGCAAGGUCGCAACUUUCCUAGAGCUAGCACCAUGGCAAGGGGGGGCUCAAAUGUUAAUGUCCACUACCAAAGGCAGCGCAAAAGGGCUGCUCCGUCAUCAACAUUUGUUCAUGAAGAUGACGAAGAGGAUGACCAAGAACAACAGUCAAGUAUCCCCAAUGGAGAGGAUGAUGAUUCAGACUUUCUUCAAGAUGAUGUUGAUAUGACCGAUGAUGAUGAAGAUCCAACUAGUGCUGACCAAGAUGGCGAAGACAACACAAAUGCUACCAUGAAUGAGUUCGAUGAUGACUAUUGA